UACAGAGGUGGCAAGCGUUGUUCGGAAUUACUGGGCGUAAAGGGCGAGUAGGUGGCCAUCUAAGUCAGACGUGAAAUCCCCCGGCUUAACCUGGGAACUGCGUCUGAUACUGGGAGGCUUGAGUAUGGGAGAGGGAUGUAGAAUUCCAGGUGUAGCGGUGAAAUGCGUAGAUAUCAGGAGGAACACCGGUGGCGAAGGCGGGUCUCUGGGCAGUAACUGACGCUGAGGAGCGAAAGCGUGGGGAGCGAACAGG
rnacentral:rRNA from 1 species